AUUGAACGCUGGCGGCAGGCCUAACACAUGCAAGUCGAGCGGAUGAAGAGAGCUUGCUCUCUGAUUCAGCGGCGGACGGGUGGGUAAUGCCUAGGAAUCUGCCUGGUAGUGGGGGACAACGUUUCGAAAGGAACGCUAAUACCGCAUACGUCCUACGGGAGAAAGUGGGGGAUCUUCAGACCUCACGCUAUCAGAUGAGCCUAGGUACGAUUAGCUAGUUGGUGAGGUAAAGGCUCACCAAGGCGACGAUCGUUAACUGGUCUGAGAGGAUGAUCAGUCACACUGGAACUGAGACACGGUCCAGACUCCUACGGGAGGCAGCAGUGGGGAAUAUUGGACAAUGGGCGAAAGCCUGAUCCAGCCAUGCCGCGUGUGUGAAGAAGGUUUUCGGAUUGUAAAGCACUUUAAGUUGGGAGGAAGGGCAGUAAGUUAAUACCUUGCUGUUUUGACGUUACCGACAGAAUAAGCACCGGCUAACUUCGUGCCAGCCGCCGCGGUAAGAC
rnacentral:rRNA from 1 species